AUGGCGACUCCUGUCGCCGCCGCCGCCGCCGCCGCCCUCCUGUUCAUGGCAUCCUUUCUCCCUUCAGUCGGAUCCACGCCCAUAUUCAUCUCUAGCAACGCCACUUUUACCAUCUACAACCAGACCGCAUUCCCCAGGAUACCUACAGGCGUCGGUUUGGCUCACGUCGGGGCAACGCGGACCUUUCUCCUUGAUCCGGAGGCAGAGGUAAAGAACUCGCUUCUUACCAUGGGGAGGUCUAAGCGGGAGCCAAUCUCGAGACCGUGGCUUCUCUGGGAUGGCACUCCAGUCGCUGCGCCGACCAAGCCUAGAUCCUCUACGCGACCACGCGCAUCACACCGCCCCAAGCAUCGGCCAGUCAUCGUACCGAAGAAGGCGGCUUCUGCCACUUCGGCUACCCCUCGCGGCCCCGCACCUUGUCCGUCUCCGGUACUGCCACCCCAACAGGGAGACUCGACGCCACGCUCGCCAAGUGCGCCGCACAACGGCCCUUCUCCUUCAGAUUCCUGCGACGGGCCUUUGGCCGCGCCUGCCUCCGCUCCCACUGUCGUCCACGAUCCAGCCCCCGCACCGGCUCCAGCGCCCGCUCCCGCACCGGCUCCCGCACCAGCGCCGGCACCGGCUCCCGCACCAGCUCCCGUGACUGGUCGAAGAUUCGGCCCUAAGUCGAUUUUGAAGUUUCUGAUUAAGGCAACUGGGACGGCCUGCAAAACAUGGGAGAAGAAGAAAUCCAAGUCAAAACAGAAGAAGAGGGAGCAGAUACUGAUGGAUAAGUAUCAAAGGCUUCGCCGAAGGGUCAAGAAGAUUGAGAGGGCAUCAAAGAAGAAGAAAUCCCACGCUCCUUUGGUGAUUCAGCGAUACUGCUGUACACCCGCUGAGGACGACGAGAACAAGCUCAGUCCGCCGACUUGA
rnacentral:rRNA from 1 species